AGGAGGCAACAUGUCCCAUUUGCACAUAUAUCGACGGCAUUUUCAUUUCAGUAAUAUUAAAUUUAGUAGCGCGAGUAUUAAAACGGUUGUGUUAUAUUAUAAAAAUAAAGAAAUAAAAAUCAGCAAAGGAGCUGGUGUAGAACGCUAGUCCCAAACCAAUGAGCUUUGUGCUUGAGGGUGGAAGCAACUUUUUGAAGAGCAAAUACUACGGUGAGCACAUUGAAAGGCAAGUUUACUGAGCUUAUCUGUCCUUGAGAACUUAUUGGUCGUUUGGAUGUACAAUUGACCUCCAUGAAAGAGCAAGUAGCAUGGAAAUUGCGACCAUGUCGUGCUGCGCAAUAUUAUGAUGUCGAAUUGGGAGAGUGGGAGGAACCAGCUCCACCAAAAUCAAUAGAAGAACUACGUAGUAUGUUUGCUUAAAACUACUAUAAUGGCAACAACGCUAACAACAACAACCAAGCAAAUAUUAAACAACACUCAUAAAAUGAAAGUUGGUGGCGUUGGUGGCCAAGCAGCGAUUUAAAAAGAAAUAUUUGCGUCUAGGCGAAUUACAAGUCGUCCUUACUUCUAGUGAAUUAUGAAUAUGAAAGUAAAUAACUUAUCGCAGUUAUUUGUUUUUAUUAUUGCAUUUAGUUUUACUUUGUGAACACAGCAAAACUGGCGGACCCUUUUUCUACCGUUUUUAUAAUUAUAAGCCCAAAUAAAAAGUAAAUUGUUACUAUAUGUUUUAUUUCAGUA